rnacentral:rRNA from 1 species
GUCUACGGCCAUACCACCCUGAAGGCUCCCGAUCUCGUCUGAUCUCGGAAGCUAAGCACUUAGGGUCGGGCCUGGUUAGUAUUUGGAUGGGAGACAAUAACAAUUAGUAACUAAUAUU